UACGGAGGGUGCAAGCGUUAUCCGGAUUCACUGGGUUUAAAGGGUGCGUAGGUGGGCAGGUAAGUCAGUGGUGAAAUCCUGUAGCUUAACUACAGAACUGCCAUUGAUACUAUUUGUCUUGAAUACCCUGGAGGUGAGCGGAAUAUGUCAUGUAGCGGUGAAAUGCUUAGAUAUGACAUAGAACAUCUAUUGCGAAGGCAGCUCACUACGGGAAUAUUGACGCUGAGGCACGAAAGCUAGGGGAGCAAACAGG
rnacentral:rRNA from 1 species